AGUGGCGCACGGGUGAGUAGCGCGUGGGAACCUGCCCUGUUGUGGGGGAUAACCGAGGGAAACUUCGGCUAAUACCGCAUAAGCCCGGGGCGACCCGGGGAAAGAUUGAUUUGCGACAGGAGGGGCCCGCGUCCGAUUAGCUGGUUGGUGGGGUAACGGCCUACCAAGGCGAUGAUCGGUAGCUGGUCUGAGAGGAUGAUCAGCCACACUGGGACUGAGAGACGGCCCAGACUCCUACGGGAGGCAGCAGUGGGGAAUAUUGGACAAUGGGCGCAAGCCUGAUCCAGCAAUGCCGCGUGAGUGAGGAAGGCCUUAGGGUUGUAAAAGCUCUUUCGGCGGGGACGAUGAUGACGGUACCCGCAGAAGAAGCCCCGGCUAACUUCGUGCCAGCAGCCGCGGUAAUACGAAGGGGGCGAGCGUUGUUCGGAUUUACUGGGCGUAAAGGGCGCGCAGGCGGCCCUGUUUGUCAGGCGUGAAAGCCCCGGGCUCAACCUGGGAGGUGCGCUUGG
rnacentral:rRNA from 1 species